AACGAACGCUGGCGGCAGGCCUAAAACAUGCAAGUUGAACGGUUGUAGCAAUACAACGAGUAGCGGACGGGUGAGUAAUGUAUGGGAACAUGUCCUUAAGUGGGGAAUAGCUUCUGGAAACGGGAGGUAAUACCGCAUAAUACCUGAGGGAGAAAGCAGAGAUGCGCUUAAGGGUUGGCCCAUAUCAGAUUAGCUAGUUGGUUAGGUAAAGGCUGACCAAGGCGACGAUCUGUAGCUGGUUUGAGAGGAUGAUCAGCCACAUUGGGACUGAGACACGGCCCAAACUCCUACGGGAGGCAGCAGUUAGGAAUAUUGGACAAUGGGGGCAACCCUGGAUCCAGCCAUGCCGCGUGAGUGAAG
rnacentral:rRNA from 1 species